UACGUAGGGUGCGAGCGUUAAUCGGAAUUACUGGGCGUAAAGCGUGCGCAGGCGGUUUCGUAAGCCAGACGUGAAAUCCCCGGGCUUAACCUGGGAACUGCGUUUGGGACUGCGAGGCUGGAGUACGGCAGAGGGAGGUGGAAUUCCACAUGUAGCAGUGAAAUGCGUAGAUAUGUGGAGGAACAUCGAUGGCGAAGGCAGCCUCCUGGGCUAGUACUGACGCUCAUGCACGAAAGCGUGGGGAGCAAACAGGAUUAGAUACCCUGGUAGUCCACGCCCUAAACUAUGGCGACUAGUUGUUGGGGGAUUAAUUCCCUUAGUAACGAAGCUAACGCGUGAAGUCGCCCGCCUGGGGAGUACGGUCGCAAGAUUA
rnacentral:rRNA from 1 species